rnacentral:rRNA from 1 species
CAGCGCCGGUAAUACGUAGGGUGCAAGCGUUAAUCGGAAUUACUGGGCGUAAAGCGUGCGCAGGCGGUUAUAUAAGACAGAUGUGAAAUCCCCGGGCUCAACCUGGGAACUGCAUUUGUGACUGUAUAGCUAGAGUACGGCAGAGGGGGAUGGAAUUCCGCGUGUAUCAGUGAAAUGCGUAGAUAUGCGGAGGAACACCGAUGGCGAAGGCAAUCCCCUGGGCCUGUACUGACGCUCAUGCACGAAAGCGUGGGGAGCAAACAGGAUUAGAUACCCGUGUAGUCCCUGUCUCUUAUACACA